CUCCUUAGAAAACAAGUGGGAGACAACUCUGUUAUACUGAGUCUGAAUUCUGAGUUUUUGUCGACAUAGAGCCUGUAUAAGCACUCUCAUACAAGAAAUUGGCCACAUAACUUGCAUGGGGAAAGAACAGCAUGGGGUCAGGAAACAAAAUGGACAAUAAGAGAAAGAAGCAAGAGAGAGACUCAGGACAAAGAAUAUCUCCCAAUACUGUUAAAUAUAGAUAUCUGGACUGAAUUGAACUUACAUGACAAUUGCAGUCAAGAUUCUGGAACUCAGAAUGGGCAAACCAGUUCUAACCCUAGGCCUUGAGAAGUCGUGAAGCUUCCAUUCUCAUUCUAGAAAUGAUGACAGAGAGUGAAAAUCCAUGUGGACGGGGCGCCCAGCUGCCUCUGCCUUCCCAGCCAUCUCAGUUGAGGCCCACACCUGCGAGUGAACCCAGCUGAGAACACAGUAAACACAGCCCAAAUUACCAAGUCACAGAACAUUCUAGCAUUGGACAUGAAGAUAACAGCCUUACCGAAGGGAAAUUCUACCAUUUUAUGAUGAGUCUUCAAAGGCAUCCAAACACAGGGAUUCUAUCUCUUUGCCAACAUCUGCAGAACAUUUCCGUGAAAAAUAUCCAAUGGUUAUUCAGACUUCUUCAUCUGUAUAGAAACUUCCAGGUGCUCAGCCAGACUGACUGACAGCUGCUUCU